UCUAGUUCAGUAAUUGGGAGAAAGAUGCAGGGGCAAGCGAGGGAAAGAGGACAUUUUAAUCAGCCAUACGCCAGUGAGGGGUGGGUGAGAGGGAGGCAAAGUCGGCAAAGAGCAGAAGCGUGCAAGUGGCCUGUUGUUAGACAGUUGUAUGUUUUAAGACGGUAGUUGCUGGAGGUGUGUAAACAGUGUGCCAUGUGAUGAUUCGUUCGGGGAGUAGAAAAAGGUUUUGCGGCCAUUAUGCGGCAUCGGGGGAGAGCCGACAGCUGUCUGUGUUGUUCACAGUGCUGACGGAGAACAUCGCCAGUCGUCUGAUUUGCUCAGAGGGAAAUCAGCAGCAAUUACUCUCCUCUCUCACACUCACUCUGUUUGUCUGCCCCCUUUCAUGUCCUGUCGUCGCAGAGCGCGAGCACCAGUCUACGCUGAUCACUGGAGAAUUGGUGCAGGCAAGACUGAAAACACUAAGGUUAUCCAGUACUUUGCCAAUGUUGGAGCCUCUGGGAGCAAAGCCUCAGAAUCCAAGGCUCAAAUAAUGGGCAGUUGAAUGUAGCUGCUUCCAGGGCUCAGUGGAGGACCAGAUCAUACAGGCCAACUCAGUGUUGGAGGCAUUUGGAAAAGUUUAUCCGCAUCCCCUUUGGCCCGACAGCUAAGCCGGCUGGCGCUGACAUUGAGACCUAUCUGCUCGAAAAAUCAAGACUGAUUUCCCAGCAGGCUGCCGAGAGAGGAUCUCACAUAUUCUACCAGCUCCUCUCUGGAACGAAGCCAGAGCUCAUAGUAGACAUGAGUCUCUGACUUCUACAUCAAUCAUCAUUAAUUCCUGCUGUACUGUCAAGAGGAGAUCCUGGGCUUCCUAUUGAUGCCACAUUUGUGGAGGUUUCAAAAUGACGGGCAUUGCAGCUUCCAUAUUUUACAGCAGCAAGGGAAGUUAAGUGAUACAGUGUUUGCAAAUAUGUUUCUAUUGCUAAAAAUCUGUUUCUUCUAUAUGUGAUUCCCAACAUCAGUUUCAGAAAU